GUAGGGAAUCUUCGGCAAUGGACGAAAGUCUGACCGAGCAACGCCGCGUGAGUGAAGAAGGUUUUCGGGUCGUAAAACUCUGUUGGUAGAGAAGAACGUUGGUGAGAGUGGAAAGCUCAUCAAGUGACGGUAACUACCCAGAAAGGGACGGCUAACUACGUGCCAGCAGCCGCGGUAAUACGUAGGUCCCGAGCGUUGUCCGGAUUUAUUGGGCGUAAAGCGAGCGCAGGUGGUUUAUUAAGUCUGGUGUAAAAGGCAGUGGCUCAACCAUUGUAUGCAUUGGAAACUGGUAGACUUGAGUGCAGGAGAGGAGAGUGGAAUUCCAUGUGUAGCGGUGAAAUGCGUAGAUAUAUGGAGGAACACCGGUGGCGAAAGCGGCUCUCUGGCCUGUAACUGACACUGAGGCUCGAAAGCGUGGGGAGCAAACAGGAUUAGAAACCCUUGUAGUCC
rnacentral:rRNA from 1 species